ACGCAAUAAGCACUCCGCCUGGGGAGUACGGUCGCAAGACUAAAACUCAAAGGAAUUGACGGGGGCCCGCACAAGCAGCGGAGCAUGUGGUUUAAUUCGAAGCAACGCGAAGAACCUUACCAGGGCUUGACAUCGUCUGAAUAUCUUAGAGAUAAGAGAAACCCUUCGGGGCAGAUAGACAGGUGGUGCAUGGUUGUCGUCAGCUCGUGUCGUGAGAUGUUGGGUUAAGUCCCGCAACGAGCGCAACCCUUGUCAUUAGUUGCUAACAGUAAGAUGAGCACUCUAAUGAGACUGCCGGGGACAACUCGGAGGAAGGUGGGGAUGACGUCAAAUCAUCAUGCCCCUUAUGUCCUGGGCUACACACGUGCUACAAUGGCUAGAACAAUGAGAUGCAAGAUGGUGACAUGGAGCAAAUCUAUAAAACUAGUCCCA
rnacentral:rRNA from 1 species